CACACAUCCCCUAGUGUUUUAUCCAACACACACACAAAAAAAACAAACACACCCACUGAUACGCACACAACCGGCACACAAAGUGCCGAAGUGCACACGGGGUACCAUUUAACAGCUUUAUCGAACCUUAACAUCAGAUUCUCACGACACUUGGUCAUUUUUAGUAUUUUGCCAAUUCAAAUAAAUCACAUAAGCCUGUUUUAUAAACUGUGUGUGCCCUGUGUUGCAGCGCCAACGUACACAUGUUGAGUUGUCUGUCUUUUAGCCGUUGUUCGUUUCAGCACCACGGACAGCAGCUCCUCUGAACGGCACCGCGCACAGACAGAUGGUUUGCUGUUGGAACCUCUAUGCUGCUAAAUCUGCCUCGUGGAAUUUUGUUUUUUGUAUGCAUCCAACCAGAACAACAGAUCCAGACUCUGAGGCUAUACCGAUCCGGAGCAGACACCGGUUUCUCCCCGAUGACGUAAUGCUGCGUGAGUGGCUGCUUCCAUCCAGCAGAUGGCGUUAACCUCGGCUGCUGCCGCUGCCACCCGGCCUCCGUCAAGUGACGUCACCGAGGUGGUGACUGUGCCGUGGUGACGUCAACUUCCCGUGGUGCAGAAUUUUGUCAUCAUUUAGGUCGUGACUAGGGACCACCAGCCCUGAGUGACACAGUCGUGCCACAGCAGAGCAGAUCUUUGGUGCAGACCUCAGACUAUAAAUACACCCUGAGGAGGACAGAGAGGCCCCGCUUUAAUGCCUCUUGUCUUUACAUCUAACUCUAAUAAUGCUUACUGUUGGUAAACUCAACACAUAGCCCACAGUAAAUAGAAUAACAGGUGUGAAAUGUUAAAUGCCAUGGGUUAAUGCAUACAAAGUAUCAUGAAGGCCAGGUUUUCACUGGUGUUUAUACAUUUGAGUGGGAAACCACACCACAUGUUUCAAAACUUUUCCCGCAUCCAAGUGUCUCAUCAGGGACAGACAAAGACAUGAAACUGACCGUGGAGUCGAGCCAGACCAGCCCAUCUCAUAGCUGAAUGAUGGUGAAAUACAGAGGGGGAAAAAACAUAGGCCUGGUAGUUACUGGGCAAAUGUAGUGUGUGGGAAAGAAUUCGCAGAAAAACACUUUUGAACAAGUACAAGUGAAUGAAUUCCGAGCAUUUAUCAUAGGUCUGUAAUUUAAAAAAAUGCAUGUCGAAAUAAAGUUAAAAUGGUGCAACAGCAGGGAAAAAAACACAAACUGUCACUUUUUUUGGGGGGGGGGCUGAACCCCAAACCCCAUGUGGUACAUCCAGAAGCAUUAUCAAAUGUACUGUAAGUGAUGACAUUCAAAACAUUUGCUGCUAUAACCUAUGGUUGUGUUGAAUAUUAUCACCAGAUAAGCUUAGAUAAGCUAAUGUGAAAUGGUAGUCUGUUGUCAGUGACUAUUGGAACUCAUUUCAGUAAUGGAUAGAACAUCUUUUCUUUGGUUGGGUUACAUUCUGAUCAUGAAGUAAAGUAGCUAAGCUGCUACUGUAUAAAGAAGAUAUUCCCACAGGUGGACUCCAUAUCCAAGACUUUAAUAAAGGGAAUAUACCGACAUCUAGUGGACAGAAAACACUGCACGUACAGGGAGAGAAUGUAAACCUCUUCACCACUCACGAGUUCCUACAUCACACAUUCCUACAUUUUAGCUUAAGUUUGCUAACAUUAGCUAAAAUUUAGCAACCAAAAGCUUUUAGUCAUGCCAGAACAAGUAAGGCACUGUUGAAAGUUGCAACACCCUCCCCCCAAUUUUCUCAACUAAACCUUCAUUUCAAGCUCAAUAUGUUAAUGGGACAAAUUUUUUUGACAUUACAUUGCCUAAAUUAGAAGUGGAAUUAGCAAUUGCCCAAAUGAUGUUAAACAUAACAAAUGGUGCGGCCUGUUUACCGAGCAGUCUAGCUUCUGUAGAAUGUUACACACGCAAUCCACACAACUUUUUCACAUAACUAUUUUGAUGUAACUAUUCAAUCGUUGUUGUUUUUUUACAGUAAAUCUCACAAGAAAAGGGUGAAAUAAAAUAUAAAUCGGAGGCAUGGAAAAAUGAAAGACCUUCCCCAACCCUCCCCAAAAAAUCUGAUUACCUACCCUUUAGCAAAAAGAAAAAAAAAAUACAUAA